UACGGGGGGAGCAAGCGUUGUUCGGAUUUACUGGGCGUAAAGGGCGCGUAGGCGGCCACCGCAAGUCGACUGUGAAAUCUCCGGGCUUAACUCGGAAAGGUCAGCCGAUACUGCGGGGCUAGAGUGCAGAAGGGGCAACUGGAAUUCUCGGUGUAGCGGUGAAAUGCGUAGAUAUCGAGAGGAACACCUGCGGCGAAGGCGGGUUGCUGGGCUGACACUGACGCUGAUUGUGAGAAAGCUAGGGGAGCGAACGGG
rnacentral:rRNA from 1 species